UCUAGGUGGAUUAAAACAGAUUUUUGUUUGUUUCGUUCGCACUCGAGUGUUUCCCAUAUAGCAACAACUCGGCGAAACGCUAGAUUAUCUUGACAUAGACAACACAUUGCCAUAGCUUCUUUACCCAAAGACAGAAAAAAUAGCACUCAGACUGCCUAUUGUAAGGUACUGUAUAAAACUCCAAUCAUAAAACAAUCUAUUCUUUUAUAUUAAAAAUAUAUUUUCAGUCUUUCCUAAAUAACCGAAAAUUGGAUGUUAAUAUGGAACUUUAGCAGCAGGCACUAAAGUCGACAACCGGCUACUGCAAAUUCAGCUUAAGGCUAAUGAAAUAUUCGCUUCGGUUGUAUCCAUCCUUCGGUAUACAGCGGUCUUUGUCCAACGAAAAGUGAAUUUUCGCCGGUUUGGAAGCCAUCGAUACCUUGUAUCUGCGUCGUUCCACUAAGCUGAUAAUUACAGCCAUUGGCAACUGUAACUACUACUUCAAAGGAAACCCAAGAUUGCGGAAAACGUACGAAAAAACUUUUAAUUCGAUUACUUUUCCAUUCGGAUCAGCACGAUAAAAGGUACGCCCACCUAAAAGAAUUGUUGUUUGAUCCCGAAUUUCAUCGUAUCGCUGAACUAAGGAGCUAUCCGGACCAUCGGCGAAGGCUUCUCAACUCCAAUCGCUGGACAUUCUAAUACCGGUGGAAAUUUUUGUCGAGGUUAUCUGAGGUUGAAUAUUGCAGUUCGUACAGACAGAUUCAACUGCAAGCGGAAACACUAGCGAACAUUCCUCCUAGAUCAGUGCACCGAUUUACCAACGUUAGAUUUCCUGUACUUCCGAUACCGACAUCCGUGAAAAAGAGCUGCCAUGCAUCCUUUUCACAUGAUAAGUAGCACACAUGAUCAGCAUUAUUCGCCCAACGUCGACAUUCGAGAGACCGUUUCCAACGGAGUUUGUUUGGUGAAAUCCAAAUACGACGUAGCAAAGCAUAUGUCAAGCGAUGUGUAUAACCUAAGCGCCAUUAAAUCUAUGCUCGACACCCUGCAACAGAUCCAUUAUGAUCCAGCAAUCCCACACAGCGAUCUUAUACAGAUGAGUUUAAUGGCCAAAGAUUCGUGUCUGCGAGAUCAUUCAUAAAACUAAAAGAUGGGGAUUUGUGGAGCAAAUUCUUGACAACGCUCUGCGAGAGGAACAUUUUUUUAUUACCGGGACAGCGCAGUGUCCGCGAUUACACUCACCAAAUUGUGUUUCUCGAUUUCAGACUUCAGCUGGUUCAAUGGCGGACAAUAUUAACGUGCUCAAAUUGGUGCUCACGCAUCACGAUUUUAUUAGGUUUCAAGAAGGAUUGCUUUUAAUUGAUGUUGAGUUUUUGGUUAUGUAAUGAUAUGUAAUAACAUAUGGCAGUGAUGAUAUGUAAUAACUAUAGCAAAGUUUGUAUGCAAAUCCUACUGGAAAUGUUAUAGUUCGUUCAAUGAAAUGAAGUUUUUGAGGAAUUGGUGAUAUCUAGGAUAAGGAGGAUAAUUACGAUUGGCCCAGCUCAGGACAAUAAUAUUCUUAACUCGAACAGAACUUGUAGGAUCUUAUAUGCGACGUCUUGGAUUGAAACCAACGUGUCAGAUAACACCAAAAGAUAGUCUAAAUUUACCUUGCGAAAACAACGAGCGUAUGCAAUGGUACCGUAAGGUUGCAAGACAAUAUCUCCAACUAUCCCGCCAGUGGUUCGAUGCUCUCGAACACAUUUUGUGGAACGCAAAAAAUGAUCAGUCUUCCAGAGCAGAUAAAAUGUAGACCAUAGACUUCUGCAUGUGAUGAUCCCAGAGCAGAACGGCGAAAGAGAGAUAAUAGAUCUGAAUGAUAAGACUCGGAUACGAUCGAGACCUAAAGUUUACUAACACAGAUAUAACUGAACCACGUAGCCAACACUCUUUGCUUUUACAUAAACCUGAUUCGAUCGAUCACUUUGUUUUGCUCUAUACGAUCACGAAAAAUUGCUUGCUUAUUAUUCUGGACCAAACGAAAGAGGUACACCUAAAACCGAAAGCUUACAAAGUAAUAGCAUUGCAGUGCAGUCAUACUAGCGCACUGAUUCGUUUCUGGAGGACAAAGAUUUUUGGGAGCUCAUUUAAUGCACAGCUGCAGUUACCCGUGGGAAUACCUAAUAAAUUCAACAAAUUCAAUACAUCAUACAUCUUCGUCGGCAGACAUUGUACUAAGAGACAUUCUUCUUCAGUUCUGUUUGGCUUGUUUGUGAAUCAAAGCCGAAAAAUGGCACUUAAUUUUCAUUUAUAGUCAGACUUUACUUUUUCCGACUAACCGUCACAAUAUUGGCCACCACAGCACGAAUAAUUCUUCCAAUAAUGGAGAAAAAACGAAUUUUCUUCGCACACGGAGAAAACCAAACUGUCGACACGUUAAACAUCUCACCGGAAGUGUACUAAGGGAUAUGACCGUCACUAAAGAUUGUUUGAACUGGUUGCUUGCAUCGAAGACGGAAGCUGUUCGUCGAAGCCACCGACUGAACUGAACACCUUUGGAACGGUGCACUCGGUGAAUUGAACACGAUAGUGCUAGCUGUAUGUCUACACCAGCAAACAAAAAUAUUUAGGUCAAGA